UUCCUUUCGUUCACUCUGCACUUUAUCAAGCUUAACUUAUGUGAUCUCAUGUUAAUCAGUAGUAGAGUCCUUUUUUGGCUAGAAUAAAAGGCUAACCAGGCUGUUGGAUUUAUAUAAUAGUAGAAAUUAGAAAGAAAACAAACCUGGUUAUUUUCUCAUGUUUUAUUGCUGAAUUUUGAUGUUUCUAUAUUCUUGCUGAUUCUUGUGUUUAUCAAAUAUUAGCAAAGUGAAGCUUCCUAAUUCGUUUUCCUUGUCUUUUUCCUUUUCUCUUUUGCUCUUUUGCAGUCAGCCAAUGGAAUAGGAUGCCCCUGUAAGUCAGCUUACUUUGCAAGUGUUUUGCCUAUAUAUAGCUUUCAUUAUUGAUUUCGUAUUUUUCCCUUGGCUUAUCCCUGUGUCGUUAACUAUUUAUAUUUUAGGACCUUUCUACUGCUCAAUUCUUGUUUUCUUUUCUCUCUUCUUUUUACCUUAGUGCCAUUCAAUUAGAUUUUCUUUUGUUGGUACUUGGUAGCCAUCACCCUUCCCGUAUGCGCUAUAUCUAGUAUUCUUUUUCUAAGAAUAGGAUUUACACCUCCCUCUUUCAGUAAGAACAAGAAAUUGUUUGAGAUAGUUUGAAGUCGUGAUCGACAUGGUUUUUUUAAACGUAUCACAUUGGCUAUUGACAUGUCUUUGGUUAAAUCAUUUGAGUUCAUUACUCUUAAAAUAAAUGACAAAAACACUUAGAACUUUAAAUAACAGUAUAGCUUCUUUUUGUAUUAAAGGCGGUUUUCGGGCCAACUUGCGGACACCUUCACUAUUUCACAAGGUACAUGCUACCUCUCACUAGCAUUGUUACCUCUCCAUAACACAAUUACAGGUCUCACUAGCACGGUUAUGGGGUAACGCUGCCACCAAGACUUAGGUAGAUGGGAAGAAUCACCUAAUAUUUUUAUCCCUGUUGGUAUUGGUAUUUAAAAACUGGUCUUCGAGAUUUAUACCCACUUUAUUGACCAUUAGACCACACUCUUGGAUGCUUCAAAUAACAUUAUAGCUACCAAAAAUUAUUUGAAGAUCCUUUAUUGGUGGCUAUGUAAUAUGGUGCAGCAACUGGGAUGAUGGUUAUAGCAUAUGAACUUCAGUGCCUUUCUACAGCAUCAGGUGCAUUAAAAAAUGAAGUAUGUUAUUUCUUCAAUGUAUUUUCCCUUUAUAUUUGCAAAUUACGAAGUAUAAAAUAUAUUGGUUGAAGAAGUUGAACUAGAAGACUUUGUGUUCUAACCCUGGGUUGCACUCACCUCCAUGCAAGUGUUGUCGAAUCCCAAGUAGAGGUAUUGCUGGAUCUUUGACAUUGCUUUGUUUUGAUGGUGGUUGGAGUAAUUUGAGUUGAAUUGGGAGCUGCUGCUUCAUUUCAUCAGUCCAUCUUUGAAUUGCAAUUCCCUUUUAUCCUGCUAUUAUCCAAUCUAGUGUUUGGUACACAAAAUGUAAAUGCUAAGGAAGUUUUUUGAAUUCAUUAUGUGAAAUUUAUCAACAAUUUAAAAUAAAUUUGGAACUUCAGAAAGGAUUAACGCUAUAAUUUGGUCGUGUCAUUUUGUAAAUGAAAUGCUGAGUGAGCUGUCAUCUGGGGGUAAUAAUACCAUGGUAAGAAGAUUAAUGGUAGGAAAUGACAGCAAGAGAAAUUUCAUUUUUUUUUCCAAGCUAGGAAUAUGGACAGAAAAAAUGGUUUGGUAUUUGGUGAACGUUAAAAAUGGUUAAUAAAUGAGAUAAUGGUCUUACAAAGAGGAAUCAUUUGUGUAAUGUUGGAUACAGAUGAUCGAAACUCAAUGAUAGGGACUAGGAAACAAUUCUCAUAUGAAAAUCUGCAUGGUGUAUUACUAAUAGAGCUCGCCUCAUGCCCCUGCCAGUGCGGAAUAAGGAAUUAGAGAAUCAUGUACAUAUACUGUUUUCCUUACAUUUCUAUGAAGCUAUUUCCGUGUGCAUACGGAAAUGAAUCAUUUCCUCUAUGUUUGUGCUUUUCUACUUGAGAUACGUUUUGUGAGUGUUACACAUUCAUGAUUUAUUUCCAGAUGGCCCAAGAUUGGGCACAUCCGUUUAUUUUCCUGUAUUUAUCUGUUUUCCCUCAUUUCUUUGUAAUGCUAAUUACACUUGUGCAAUGUAGGUGAACCGGGUUUGAUUUGGAGCGAAACUUGUGAAGCAGCUAGGAGUUGGACCGACUUGUAUAACUUUUCGUAUUCGGGAAUUUACCUUGGUAGAACGACUUGAUUAGUGGAGGAUGCUGUAAGACUUGAAAUAGGAUUUUGCUGUUCUGCUACGUACUGUUAUCUACUUCAGGGACCUUGUAAACAUUGGAGUUUAAAGUGGUUUGUCUUGUAUGUUGAAUGUUAUGAUCGGCUAAUGUGUAGGGUACCUACCUUUCAUAACUCCAGAUACAGUGCUCAUCGAAUGGGCUAGUAUACUUACCAUGAUCGAGUUUGGGUAUAUGCGUCGGCAGGAACAUGAAAUAGGCGAUUUUGAAAUGGAGGUAAAGUUAACCAAAUGAACGAAUAUGAUAA
rnacentral:lncRNA from 1 species